rnacentral:rRNA from 1 species
GAUGAACGCUGGCGGCGUGCUUAACACAUGCAAGUCGAACGGAAAGGCCCAAGCUUGCUUGGGUACUCGAGUGGCGAACGGGUGAGCAACACGUGGGUGAUCUGCCCUGCACUUCGGGAUAAGCCUGGGAAACUGGGUCUAAUACCGGAUAGGACCACUUCUUGGAUGUUGUGGUGGAAAGUUUUUUCGGUGUGGGAUGAGCUCGCGGCCUAUCAGCUUGUUGGUGGGGUAAUGGCCUACCAAGGCGUCGACGGGUAGCCGGCCUGAGAGGGUGUACGGCCACAUUGGGACUGAGAUACGGCCCAGACUCCUACGGGAGGCAGCAGUGGGGAAUAUUGCACAAUGGGCGCAAGCCUGAUGCAGCGACGCCGCGUGGGGGAUGACGGCCUUCGGGUUGUAAACUCCUUUCGCUAGGGACGAAGCGUUUUGUGACGGUACCUGGAGAAGAAGCACCGGCUAACUACGUG